CCUACGGGAGGCAGCAGUGAGGAAUAUUGGUCAAUGGGCGGGAGCCUGAACCAGCCAAGUCGCGUGAGGGAAGACGGUCCUAUGGAUUGUAAACCUCUUUAGGCGGGGAGCAAUGCCGCGCACGCGUGCCCGGAGGGAGAGUACCCGCAGUAUAAGCAUCGGCUAACUCCGUGCCAGCAGGCGAGGUAAUACGGAGGAUGCGAGCGUUCUCCGGAUUUAGUGGGUUUAAAGGGUGCGUAGGCGGAUUUUUAAGUCAGCGGUAAAAUGUCCGGGCUCAAACCGGGCCGGCCGUGGAUACUGGGGAGCUUGAGUGGGCGAGAAGUAUGCGGAAUGCAUGGUGUAGCGGUGAAAUGCAUAGAUAUCACGCAGAACUCCGAUUGCGAAGGCAGCAUACCGGCGCCCAACUGACGCUGAAGCACGAAAGCGUGGGUAUCGAACAGGAUUAGAUACCCUAGUAGUC
rnacentral:rRNA from 1 species